rnacentral:rRNA from 1 species
AGAGUUUGAUCCUGGCUCAGGACGAACGCUGGCGGCGUGCUUAACACAUGCAAGUCGAGCGGAAAGGCUUCCUUCGGGGGGUACUCGAGCGGCGAACGGGUGAGUAACACGUGAGUAAUCUGCCCCUCACUCUGGGAUAACUGCCUGAAAGGGUGGCUAAUACCGGAUGCGACCGUCCCCUGCAUGGGGUGGUGGUGGAAAGGGUUUCUGGUGGGGGAUGUGCUCGCGGCCUAUCAGCUUGUUGGUGGGGUAAUGGCCUACCAAGGCUUUGACGGGUAGCCGGCCUGAGAGGGUGACCGGCCACACUGGGACUGAGACACGGCCCAGACUCCUACGGGAGGCAGCAGUGGGGAAUAUUGGACAAUGGGCGGAAGCCUGAUCCAGCAACGCCGCGUGAGGGAUGACGGCCUUCGGGUUGUAAACCUCUUUCAGCACAGACGAAGCGCCUGUUGUGGGUGGUGACGGUAUGUGCAGAAGAAGCACCGGCCAACUACGUGCCAGCAGCCGCGGUA